rnacentral:rRNA from 1 species
CCUACGGGAGGCUGCAGUGGGGAAUAUUGCGCAAUGGGCGAAAGCCUGACGCAGCGACGCCGCGUGAGGGAUGAAGGUCUUCGGAUCGUAAACCUCUGUCAGCAGGGAAGAACGGUCACUGUGCUAAUCAGCAGUGAAUUGACGGUACCUGCAAAGGAAGCACCGGCUAACUCCGUGCCAGCAGCCGCGGUAAUCCGGAGGGUGCGAGGGUUAAUCGGAAUUACUGGGCGUAAAGCGCUCGUAGGCGGUAUGUCAAGUCAAGGGGGAAAUCCCCGCGCUCAACGUGGGAACUGCCUUUGAAACUGGCAAACUGGAGUGUGUGAGAGGAUAGUGGAAUUCCAGGGGUAGGAGUGAAAUCCGUAGAUAUCUGGAGGAACAUCAGUGGCGAAGGCGACUAUCUGGCACAUAACUGACGCUGAGGAGCGAAAGCGUGGGUAGCAAACAGGAUUAGAUACCCCAGUAGUC